GACGAACGCUGGCGGCGUGCUUAACACAUGCAAGUCGAACGGAAAGGCCCUGCUUGUGUGGGGUGCUCGAGUGGCGAACGGGUGAGUAACACGUGAGUAACCUGCCCUUGACUUUGGGAUAACUUCAGGAAACUGGGGCUAAUACCGGAUAGGAGCUCCUGCUGCAUGGUGGGGGUGGGAAAGUUUCGGCGGUUGGGGAUGGACUCGCGGCUUAUCAGCUUGUUGGUGGGGUAGUGGCUUACCAAGGCUUUGACGGGUAGCCGGCCUGAGAGGGUGACCGGCCACAUUGGGACUGAGAUACGGCCCAGACUCCUACGGGAGGCAGCAGUGGGGAAUAUUGCACAAUGGGCGGAAGCCUGAUGCAGCAACGCCGCGUGCGGGAUGACGGCCUUCGGGUUGUAAACCGCUUUCGCCUGUGACGAAGCGUGAGUGACGGUAAUGGGUAAAGAAGCACCGGCUAACUACGUG
rnacentral:rRNA from 1 species